GCCUGGGUGGCUCAGUUGGUUAAGCAUCUGACUUUGGCUCAGGUCAUGAUCCCACUGUUCGUGAGUUCGAGCCCCACGUUGGGCU
rfam:Felis catus isolate Cinnamon breed Abyssinian chromosome B1, whole genome shotgun sequence.